AUUCACCACCACCAACCACAAAUUCAAUCACUUGCAAAUUUCUAAGGUAAGGAUUAAACAAAUCGAUCCACCACAACAAUGAGAACAAUUCUAGAAUUCUUCACAAGGAGUCUUGAUGCAGUGAAUUCAGGGCAACAAAAAUAUCAUCAUCAUCGGAACGAUCAAAUCCAAAUUCAGCACGACGAAAAUCCGCAAGAAGCAACAACAGUUAGGAUUUAGCGUUCGGAUUAGCUAGGAGAAAACCUCUCUGAUCACGGCGAUGGAAACUUCAAACGAGAAUCUGGAAAAUCUCAUCCUCUUAUUUUUCUUGUGGCGACGGCGUAAAUUAAGAAUUGAUUUUCCAAUUUGCAUGUUUUAACCGAAAAACUGGAUCUGGAAAAUAAAUCUCAUCCUCUUCCUCUUCUUUUUCUUUUUCUUGUGGUGACGACAUAAAUUAAGAAUUGGGCAUAAACGAGAAUUUGGAAAACCCCC
rnacentral:lncRNA from 1 species